GGAUAUAGUUCAGUAGGUAGAGUGUUUGCCUUGCGUGCACAAGGCCCUGGGUUGGAUUCCCAUCACCA
rnacentral:tRNA from 1 species